CUAAAUGUAAUUGAAUCAGAAUCAAUGUCUCUUUCGGCAUUCAUUUCAUGCAUCUGCAUUACAUGACAUCAUAUGCAUUGAAAGAGUCUAAUUGAGUGAAUUUAUUUCAGUUAAUCUGGAAACCAACCAACCCACCAAACACCGCUACGGUACUCGAUCAAAAACUAAAGACAUGGGCCAAAGGAUGGAAAGGCUAGAACAAUUUAAAAAAGAAAUGCAAGAUCAGCUUCAACAACAAAUGAAA
rnacentral:lncRNA from 1 species